UUUGUUGGGCUUCCCCACCCGUGACCGGGUACUACCAAGGAGCUUUGUGUAGGCAUACAUGCGCGGGCAUGUAUGCGGGCGCGUGUGGUAACGGAUGAAAGCUCCUUGCGGCUACAUGUAUGAUGGGCCAAAGAGCUAUUCUGAUACCCCCUUUUUCUUCAAAAAAUCCUUUUUGUAAUGAUGUACAGUAGACUUUCGUUGUGUGAAUUUACUAUUCACUAGUCUGUGUUUUUGACUUAUUCAUAGGAUUUGUGAGGAAAAAUGAAGUGGACGGCAUAAGAUUGUGUUGAGCGUACCAAGAUAUCUAUAUACACAAGAAAAGAAUGUAAAGAAGAACAAACUACUUUUUUGUUUUAAUUAACUUUCAAACUUUAUUAAAAAAAAAUUUUCUUCAAUAAACUUUUAAAAAUAGAA